UUUCCGUAGGUGAACCUGCGGAAGGAUCAUUCAUAAUAAAGUGUUUUAUGGCACUUUUUAAAAAUCCAUAUCCACCUUGUGUGCAAUGUUAGAUCUCGUCAAUCUUGGCGAGAUUUUUAUACAUCAACUCAUUUUUUAACUAAUUUGACUGAAAAAUAUUAUGAAUACUUAAUUCAAAAUACAACUUUCAACAACGGAUCUCUUGGCUCUC
rnacentral:misc_RNA from 1 species